AUGGAUGUGAAGUCUCUCCAUUCUUUUCUGUCAAGGUUCUUAUCCGAUGAUUCUCAGGAAGAUGCUAAGGAAGCUACAAGUUCAUCAUUCGUCAUUCUUUUUCUUCUUCAGUGGAUUCAAGUCAAGCUUUGUCGAUCUUAUCCUUUUUCUCGUUUCAAAUGUUUUCUCAUGCCGGUGCACCUCUUAAUCAUUCACCUCUCACUAUUCAAUUGUUCCAGAGUGCUCAAGAUAUCUCGAAGAUUCGUGUUUCCACUCUGCAUUCGUUCAAGCUCUUUCGAGGAUGUUAUCUCAUUCAAGCCAUUUAGUUCAACCAGUGCAAUCUCUCUUUUUAAGCAAUCGUUCAACGGUGUAUCUUUUGAGUGGGCCCUAACCCACAAGUUUUUUUCCCAGGAUCUUACCUGA
rnacentral:rRNA from 1 species